rnacentral:rRNA from 1 species
AUUGAACGCUGGCGGCAGGCCUAACACAUGCAAGUCGAACGAGUGGCGGACGGGUGAGUAAUGUCUGGGAAACUGCCUGAUGGAGGGGGAUAACUACUGGAAACGGUAGCUAAUACCGCAUACCAUCAGAUGUGCCCAGUUGGGAUUGGCUGGUUGGUGGGGUAACGGCUCACCAAGGCGACGAUGCCUAGCUGGUCUGAGAGGGUGACCAGCCACACUGGAACUGAGACACGUUCCAGACUCCUACGGGAGGCAGCGGUGGAGAAUAUUGCACAAUGGGCGCGUGCCUGAUGCAGCCAUGCGGCGUGUAUGAUGAAGGCCGUCGGGUUGUAAAGUACUGUCGGCGGGGAGGCGUUACCCGCAGAAGAAGCACCGGCUAACUCCGUGCCAGCAGCCGCGGUAAUAC